CCUACGGGAGGCAGCAGUGAGGAAUAUUGGACAAUGGGCGCAAGCCUGAUCCAGCCAUGCCGCGUGCGGGAAGAAGCAUCUAUGGUGUGUAAAUUGCUUUUGUACAGGAAGAAACACUCCCUCGUGAGGGAGCUUGACGGUACUGUAAGAAUAAGGACCGGCUAACUCCGUGCCAGCAGCCGCGGUAAUACGGAGGGUCCGAGCGUUAUCCGGAAUCAUUGGGUUUAAAGGGCCCGUAGGCGGUUUAAUAAGUCAGUGGUGAAAUCUGGUCGCUCAACGAUCAAACGGCCAUUGAUACUGUUAGACUUGAAUUAUAAAGAAGUAACUAGAAUAUGUAGUGUAGCGGUGAAAUGCUUAGAUAUUACAUGGAAUACCAAUUGCGAAGGCAGGUUACUACUUAUGGAUUGACGCUGAUGGACGAAAGCGUGGGGAGCGAACAGGAUUAGAUACCCUGGUAGUCCACGCCGUAAACGAUGGAUACUAGCUGUUCGGAGCAAUCUGAGUGGCUAAGCGAAAGUGAUAAGUAUCCCACCUGGGGAGUACGUUCGCAAGAAUGAAACUUAAAUGAAUUGACGG
rnacentral:rRNA from 1 species